rnacentral:rRNA from 1 species
UACGGGGGGGGCAAGCGUUGUUCGGAAUUACUGGGCGUAAAGGGCUCGUAGGCGGCCAACUAAGUCGGAUGUGAAAUCCCCAGGCUUAACCUGGGAACUGCAUCCGAUACUGGGUGGCUUGAAUCCGGGAGAGGGAUGCGGAAUUCCAGGUGUAGCGGUGAAAUGCGUAGAUAUCUGGAGGAACACCGGUGGCGAAGGCGGCAUCCUGGACCGGCAUUGACGCUGAGGAGCGAAAGCCAGGGGAGCAAACGGG